rnacentral:rRNA from 1 species
UACGUAGGGUGCGAGCGUUGUCCGGAAUUAUUGGGCGUAAAGAGCUUGUAGGCGGUCUGUCGCGUCUGCUGUGAAAAUCCGGGGCUCAACCCCGGACUUGCAGUGGGUACGGGCAGACUAGAGUGUGGUAGGGGAGACUGGAAUUCCUGGUGUAGCGGUGAAAUGCGCAGAUAUCAGGAGGAACACCGAUGGCGAAGGCAGGUCUCUGGGCUACUACUGACGCUGAGAAGCGAAAGCAUGGGGAGCGAAACAGG